rnacentral:lncRNA from 1 species
CUAGAAAGCCUAAGACAAUAUAUAACACCCGAAAGCCUACUUAAUUUUUUUUUUAAAUACUUCUAUGUAUAACAAUAAAACUCUUUACACAUCCAAUAUGUUCUUUAAAACACUAAGUGAAGUUCUAAAGAAAGUAUAAGACAUUUUAAAAAUAGAUGUAGGUAAUGAGUUCAACGAAAAAAAGGCUUUCUUUUCCAAGUUCUCUCGGCGCAUGUUAAGCAAACGUGCGCCGUCUUCGCCAUGACUAGUAAGAAAGCUCGUGGAUGUCCUAGAAAGUAGCAAAUUCGUGUAGAUGACAAAAUACUUAAGCUCAACGCCAUGGAAAGGAGCUCAACAAAGUUUAUGGAAACCAUUUCUGGACCAUCGAAGGUGACUACUGGAUCUGUUUCUCUAACACAAAUCUACCAUGGAGAAGCUUCAGGACCAGCUACACAGCAGCAGAAACAAGCAAAUCAGAGUCCAAUCCCUAUGCAUGUUGAUUUACGAGGAAGUAUCACACCCCCUGCAGUUCGAGAAGUUACUGUUCCAUUGAGCAAAGAGUAGGAAGAUACAGCUAAUGCACAAGCUGGAAUUACUGUUCCAUUGGUGAACAAGGGGCAAAACCAAGUUGUUUCCACAGAGUCUACUUAGGCUAAAGUACUCACAGGCAAUAGAUCUGCAGCAAAUGGUAUGACAUUGAAUUAUAUUACUCCUGAUAUUAUAGAAGGAAAUCUAGUAGCUAAGCUUGAAAAGUCAAAAUUGAGCUGGAAAAUCUGAAAUGGAAGAGUGCCUUAAUAGUCUAUGUUUUGGGUGAAAAACCAGGCUACAACUAUAUGAAAAGGUACAUAAAUCAUAUGUGGAACACAGUUGCUAUGCCAGAUUUGUUUUAUUAUGAUGAAGGGUAUUAUAUUGUGAGAUUUCAAACAUUAGAGGAUACAGUGAAUAAUAGACCAAUGAUAAUGAAAUGCUGGUCUCCUUACUUUGAUUUUGCAGCAGAAUUCAUGACAGACAUUCCAUUAUGGGUAAGGUUUCCAAAACUUCCCAUGAAUUGUGGAGUGAGAACUCACUGAGUAGAAUAGCAAGCACAAUAGGGAUUCCUGUGUUUGCAGAUGAGUGUACUACCAAAUAGAUAAGAAUUUCCUAUGCUAGAAUCCUAAUAGAAGUGAAUGUUACAAAGCCUUUUCCAACUAGCAUUCCCGUCAUGAAUGACGAGGGGUGAUUUUUGAGCAAGCAUUUAAAUUUGAUUGGAAACCGGAGUUCUGUGACAAAUGCUUAAAAGCAGGACAUAAUUGUAGUAGAAUUCCAAAGGAAGGUGACAAACAAAUUCCCCAGCCCAGGAAAAGGAAGCCACCACCAGUAAAACAAAUAUGGAGGACUAAGGUGCCAGAAAUAGUUACAACUGAUGAAAUGAGCCAAAAACAAGUGGAAGAAGCUAGCAAGGAAGAUGUGAGUACCUCUAAGCCAACAGAAGAUAAGGAAGAUCAUCAGCAAGAAGAGGAAGCAGUAGAAGUAAGCAUGCAAGUAGAUAAAGGGAAAAUGAAUGCAGUGACUAAUGACACUCCAAUUACCUAUGCCAAAGCUAUAAUGUCUCCAGUGAAAUAAAGAUCUCAAACAUUCCCGAGUGCAGCUGUGAUAGCAACCUUGAAACCACCUAAUAUAGGUGGUCAUUCUCAAUUUUGAUUAUGUCUUGGAUGGAAUGGAACAUAAGGGGUACCAACAAGAGAUACAAACAAAAGGAGUUGGGUAUCUAUAUAAAGGAGAAUAAUAUAAAGCUAUUGGGGUUAGUGGAAACUAGAGUAAAGAAGGAAAAAACAACUCAGAUUUCACAGUUAGUGGCACCUGGUUGGCAAGCUCACUACAAAUAUGAUUAUGCAAUAAAUGGGAGAAUUUGGAUUCUUUGGGAUCCUCAGAGUUAUGCCAUUACAGUUUUAGAAAAAUCUGCUCAAAUAAUUCAUUAUAAAGUUGUAGGCAGACAGAAUACUAUAAAUUAUCUUAUGACAAUAGUGUAUGGAUUUAAUACUACUGAAGCAAGGAAACCUUUAUGGCAACAACUAAAUGUUGAUGCAACUCAGAAUACUGAACCAUGGAUCAUCUGGGGGGACUUUAACUCUAUCUUAAUAAUUCAAGAUAGAAUUUGUGGGAAAUAGUUACAAGAAAUGAAAUACAAGACUUUAAUGAAUGUAUGUAGACUCUGAAUUCGAAUGAAUUGGCUUGGAGAGGAGAUUAUUAUACAUGGUCGAAUAAACAGCAAGGAGCAGAUAGAGUAUAUAGCAGGAUUGAUAGAGCUUUAGGGAAUGAUUAAUGGAUGCAAGCUUAUGAACAUAUGGAAGUAGAAUAUAGACUUCCAUUCAUUUCAGAUCAUGCUCCAAUGGUUAUCUCUAUAAGAAGACUAGUACCAAGUGGCAAGAUUCCUUUUAGAUUUUUUAAUGUUUGGGUAGAACAUCCAAGCUUUAUGUCACUUGUGGAAGGAGUAUGGAAAGAACAAUAUGAUCAUGACCCUACGAAGAAUAUAUGGCAGAAGUUGAAGAUUCUAAGAUCUUUAUUGAAGCAGCUCAACAACAGCGAAUUCAAGGGCAUCACAGAUAAGCUGGAAUCAACAAGGAGUUUACUACAGGCUAUUCAAGCUCAAAUAUCAAAAGGUUAUUCAGGCAAACUAGCUAUUGAGGAAAAACAAGCCUUAGAGAACUUGGAGAAAUGGUCAUUAAUUGAAGAAAGCAUACUGCAACAGAAGGCUCGAGCUAUAUGGAUAAGAUUAGGGGAUGCUAAUUCUAAAUAUUUCUCAGCAGUUAUGAAGGAAAGAAGGCAAAGAAAAGUUAUCACUGAACUACAAGAUAGCUUUGGAAACAAAAUAACUGACCAACAACAUAUACAAGCAAAGAUCAUCAGUUUCUACAAAGCUUUGAUGGGGGCAACAGUUGGGAAUUUACCUGCAGUCAAUAAACAAACAAUGAAGAAUGGGCAAGUUCUUAAUCAUGAACAGCAGAUGAACUUGAUUGCAGAAGUUAUUGAGCAAGAAAUAUAUCAAGGUCUAUGUGCUAUUGGAAAUGAUAAAGCUCUAGGGGUUGAUGGUUACAAUGCAGUGUUUUUCAAGAAAGGAUGGCCAAUUAUAGGUGCUGAAGUUUGCUAAGUAGUUAAAAGAUUUUUUACCACAGGGAAGUUAUAUAGGGCAGUGAAUUGUACAGCUAUCACCAUUCUGCCUAAAAUUCCAAAUCCUACAAGCAUCAGAGAAUACAGACUAAUAGCUUGUUGCAUUGUAUUAUAUAAACUGAUAGCUAAGGUUCCAGCUAAUAGAAUACAAAAAGUCAUUGCAUCCAUCAUAUCAGAGACUCAGGCUGGAUUCAUGCCAGGAAGAAAGGUUGCAAAUAAUGUGAUACUUGCUCAUGAACUAGUCAAAGCUUAUUCUUGGAAGAACAUUUCUCUUAGAUGCCUUAUCAAGUGGAAAUCCAAAAAGUUUAUGACAUAGUAGAUUGGAGAUGCUUGCAUCAAAUGCUAGAUGAACUGGGCUUCCCAACUAAAUUCAUUAACUGGAUCAUGGAAUGUGUGACAACAGUAAAUAUACAGUUCUUGUAAAUGGUGAAACAACAAAGCCUUUUGAUGCAGCUAGAGGACUAAGGCAAGGGGACCCUAUGUCACCUUUCUUAUUUGCCAUAGCCAUGGAGUAUCUCAGCAGGAACUUAAAGACCUUAAAGCAGGAGAAAUCAUACCAUUUCCAUCCUUUGUGUGCAAGGUUGGACUAAACUCAUUUGAGUUUUGUAGAUGACCUUCUGAUUUUUGCAAGAGGAGAUGCAACUUCAGUAAGUUUAAUACAUGACAGAUUCCAGAUUUUUUCAGCAGCUUCAGGACUUAGUGCUAACCUAGCAAAAAGUUUCAUCUAUUAUGGAGGAGUCAGUGUGGAGGCUCAAAAGGAGAUACAAGGAAAGCUGGGGUAUAGUCAGGGGUCACUGCCUUUCAAAUAUUUAGUCAUACCACCUGAUUAUAAGAAGCUAUCAAUCAUGCAAUGGCUGCCACUUAUUAACAAAAUAGUGGCAAGAAU